GCCUGGGUGGCUCUGUUGGUUGAGCGUCCGACUUCAGCUCAGGUCGUGAUCUCUUGGUCCGUGAGUUCAAGCCCCACGUCAGGCU
rnacentral:tRNA from 1 species